rnacentral:rRNA from 1 species
AUACGUAGGGUGCAAGCGUUAAUCGGAAUUACUGGGCGUAAAGCGUGCGCAGGCGGUUCGGAAAGAAGGAUGUGAAAUCCCAGGGCUCAACCUUGGAACUGCAUUCUUAACUACCGAACUAGAGUAUGUCAGAGGGGGGUAGAAUUCCGCGUGUAGCAGUGAAAUGCGUAGAUAUGAGGAGGAAUACCGAUGGCGAAGGUAGCCCCCUGGGAUAAUACUGACGCGAAUGCACGAUAGCGUAGGAAGGAAACAGGAUUAGAGACCCUGGUAGUCCACGCCCUAAACGAUGUCCACUAGCUUUUGGGCCCUUCGGGGCUUAUUACCGUAGCUAACGCAUGAAGUUGACCGCCUGGGGAGUACGGUCGCAAGAUGAAAACUCAAAGGAAUUGACUGGG